CGCGGGAUGGAGCAGCCCGGUAGCUCGUCAGGCUCAUAACCUGAAGGUCGUAGGUUCAAAUCCUACUCCCCCAACCA
rnacentral:tRNA from 1 species